UGGGGAAUAUUGCACAAUGGGGGAAACCCUGAUGCAGCCAUGCCGCGUGUGUGAAGAAGGCCUUCGGGUUGUAAAGCACUUUCAGUCAGGAGGAAGGUGGUGUAGCUAAUAUCUGCACCAAUUGACGUUACUGACAGAAGAAGCACCGGCUAACUCCGUGCCAGCAGCCGCGGUAAUACGGAGGGUGCGAGCGUUAAUCGGAAUUACUGGGCGUAAAGCGUGCGCAGGCGGUUUGUUAAGCGAGAUGUGAAAGCCCCGGGCUCAACCUGGGAUGGUCAUUUCGAACUGGCAAGCUAGAGUCUCGUAGAGGGGGGUAGAAUUCCAGGUGUAGCGGUGAAAUGCGUAGAGAUCUGGAGGAAUACCGGUGGCGAAGGCGGCCCCCUGGACGAAGACUGACGCUCAGGCACGAAAGCGUGGGGAGCAAACAGGAUUAGAUACCCUGGUAGUCCACGCCGUAAACGAUGUCUACUCGGAGUUUGGUGUCUAGAACACUGGGCUCUCAAGCUAACGCAUUAAGUAGACCGUCUGGGGAGUACGGCCGCAAGGUUA
rnacentral:rRNA from 1 species